UAGGGAAUCUUCGGCAAUGGACGGAAGCCUGACCGAGCAACGCCGCGUGAGUGAAGAAGGUUUUCGGAUCGUAAAGCUCUGUUGUAAGAGAAGAACGAGUGUGAGAGUGGAAAGUUCACACUGUGACGGUAUCUUACCAGAAAGGGACGGCUAACUACGUGCCAGCAGCCGCGGUAAUACGUAGGUCCCGAGCGUUGUCCGGAUUUAUUGGGCGUAAAGCGAGCGCAGGCGGUUAGAUAAGUCUGAAGUUAAAGGCUGUGGCUUAACCAUAGUAGGCUUUGGAAACUGUUUAACUUGAGUGCAAGAGGGGAGAGUGGAAUUCCAUGUGUAGCGGUGAAAUGCGUAGAUAUAUGGAGGAACACCGGUGGCGAAAGCGGCUCUCUGGCUUGUAACUGACGCUGAGGCUCGAAAGCGUGGGGAGCAAACAGGAUUAGAUACCCUGGUAGUCCACGCUGUAAACGAUGAGUGCUAGGUGUUAGACCCUUUCCGGGGUUUAGUGCCGUAGCUAACGCAUUAAGCACUCCGCCUGGGGAGUACGACCGCAAGGUUG
rnacentral:rRNA from 1 species